GAUGAACGCUGGCGGCACGCCUAACACAUGCAAGUCGAGCGGAGCCUACAUAUGAUUUACUUCGGUAAUGAAUAUGUAAAGCUUAGCGGCGGACGGGUGAGUAACACGUGAGCAACCUACCCUGGAGUGGGGGAUAACACUUGGAAACAAGUGCCAAUACCGCAUAACAUAUUGAAUUGGCAUCAAUUUGAUAUCAAAGAUUUAUCGCUUUGGGAUGGGCUCGCGUCUGAUUAGCUAGUUGGUGAGGUAAUGGCUCACCAAGGCAACGAUCAGUAGCCGGACUGAGAGGUUGAUCGGCCACAUUGGGGACUGAGACACGGCCCAGACUCCUACGGGAGGCAGCAGUGGGGAUAUUGCACAAUGGAGGAAACUCUGAUGCAGCGAUGCCGCGUGAGGGAGAAGGUCUUCGGAUUGUAAACCUCUGUUAUUAGGGAAGAAACAAUGACGGUACCUAAUGAGGAAGCCACGGCUAAC
rnacentral:rRNA from 2 species